AACGAGAUCCCUUCCAUAGGUGACGCUCACGAGAAGCCUUUGUGGCCCCGCAAGGGGUAUCCGCCGCGACUGUAAACAAGAAUGUUGGAUAUUAAAUCGCAAGUCGGUCACAGAAGACCGGCCACACUUUCGAAUUGCGGGGACACCCUAAAGCCAGCCUCUACCAAACCAGCCAGGAAACUGAGCUGGUGGCCUGUGCCAACCGCACGGGGUAAGGUAAGAACGAGGCAGGAUGAGUGACAAUGGGCCAUCCGCAGCCAAGUCCCUAAGGCGCCAGCUAUGGGAAAGGUUCACAGACUAGGUGGAAGUGGGCUGCAGGCGCUUGACGCCGAAGCUUAAGAUAUAGUCGGGCUCUGCGGGAAACCGCUGAGGAGUCACUUGUAACGAGUAACCAAACUGUUCCGUAGGUGAACCUGCGGAAGGAUCAUUAAAAAGGUCUCUGACCAAACCCUUUGGUCCGGUUCGCCGGUCAAAGUUCAACCAUGUGGAUUACCACUUUUUGCUUCGGCAGCAGGCCUCUGGCUACCCGCCUCCGGCCGUCAGCCUGCCGGCGGCACCCUCAAUUCAAACCUGUUUGACCAAAACCUGUCUGAACUGAAUGAUUUCUUGAAUGAGAAUCAAAACUUUCAACAACGGAUCUCUUGGUUCUCGCAUCGAUGAAGAACGCAGCGAAACGCGAUAGUUAAUGUGAAUUGCAGAAUUCAGUGAAUCAUCGAGUCUUUGAACGCACAUUGCGCCCCUCGGUAUUCCGGCGGGCAUGUCUGUUUGAGCGUCAUUACAACCACUCGGUUGGCCAUUUGGCCGCACCGGUUGUGAGCCGGCCGACCCUUUCACGGGGACCGUCCGGCUUUAAACUCCAGCGCUCUGCGAGUGAAUGUACCGGAAGAACAUAGUAGAUUAGCUUCAACUGUUCAACCUUUGGAUUCGUCACUUCGCCUGAACAAAACCGCAUCAUAAGGUUUGACCUCAGAUCAGACAAGGAUACCCGCUGAACUUAAGCAUAUCAAUAAGCGGAGGAAAAGAAACCAACCGGGAUUGCCUCAGUAACGGCGAGUGAAGCGGCAAGAGCUCAAAUUUGAAAUCUGGGGUCUUCGGCCUCCGAGUUGUAAUUUGAAGAGGAUGCCUCGGUUGCAGUCCCGGCCUAAGUUCCUUGGAACAGGACGUCGCAGAGGGUGAGAAUCCCGUACGCGGCUGCGGACUUGCUUCCAUGUGUGGCUCCCUCGAAGAGUCGAGUUGUUUGGGAAUGCAGCUCAAAAUGGGUGGUAAGUUUCAUCUAAGGCUAAAUACUGGCGAGAGACCGAUAGCGCACAAGUAGAGUGAUCGAAAGAUGAAAAGCACUUUGAAAAGGGAGUUAAACAGUACGUGAAAUUGUUGAAAGGGAAGCGCUUGCAAUCAGACUUGCGCGCGGUUGAUCAACGUUCCUUCUGGUUCGUGCACUCUGCCGUGCGCAGGCCAGCAUCGGUUGGAGCGGCGGGACAAAGGCUCCGGGAAUGUGGCUCUCUUCGGGGAGUGUUAUAGCCCGGCGCGUAAUGCCGCCUGCACCGACCGAGGUCCGCGCUCACGCUAGGAUGCUGGCUUAAUGGUUGUAAGCGACCCGUCUUGAAACACGGACCAAGGAGUCUAACAUCUACGCGAGUGUUUGGGCGUCAAACCCAUGCGCGCAAUGAAAGUGAACGGAGGUGGGAGCUUCGGCGCACCAUCGACCGAUCCUGAUGUCCUCGGAUGGAUUUGAGUAGGAGCGUAGCUGUUGGGACCCGAAAGAUGGUGAACUAUGCCUGAAUAGGGUGAAGCCAGAGGAAACUCUGGUGGAGGCUCGCAGCGGUUCUGACGUGCAAAUCGAUCGUCAAAUUUGGGUAUAGGGGCGAAAGACUAAUCGAACCAUCUAGUAGCUG
rnacentral:rRNA from 1 species